rnacentral:sRNA from 1 species
AUGAAUGUAAUUCAAGAAGUUGAAUCUGAAAUAAAUGAAUUUAUUUCCCCAAUUUUUGUAAGACCAAAAAAGAAUGGCGAAUACAGAAUGAUACUUAAUUUGAAAGAAUUAAAUAAACACAUUGAAUAUCAACAUUUCAAAAUGGAUUCUUUUGAAAGCGCUUUAAAUUUGAUUAAAGAAAAUGCAUACAUGUCAAGUGUAGAUCUAAGACAUGCUUAUUAUUCUAUUAACAUUGCUGAACAGCAUAGAAAAUUUUUAAGAUUUGUUUGGAAAGAGAAAUAUUUUCAAUAUUCCUGCUUACCAAAUGGUAUAGCUAUGGCACCAAGGCUUUUUACCAAAAUUAUGAAAGUUGUAUAUGCAAGUUUGCGUAAAAUGGGUUAUGUUAAUGUUGGGUACAUUGACGAUUCACUACUAUUAGGUGAUACUGAACUCGAAUGCAAAAAUAAUGUUACAGAAACUGUUAAUAUGGUGUCAAGCCUUGGAUUUAUAGUACAUAAAGAUAAGUCAGUUUUUACUCCUAAAAAAUGCAUCAAGUUUUUAGGUUUUUACAUUGACUCGGAAACAAUGAUAGUUACUUUACCAGUUGAAAAACAAGAUACUAUUGCUAAAGAAUGCAAACAAUUACAAAGUAAAAAUAAAUGUAAAAUAAGAGAAGUAGCUAGAGUUCUUGGGAUACUCAUAUCUAGUCUCCCUGCUGUGGAAUUUGGUAAACUCUAUUACAGGAAAAUAGAGAGAGAGAAAAUUAAAGCAUUAAAAUUAGCUAUGGGAGAUUUUGAUUCUGAAAUGUUUGUAACAUCAGAAAUGAAACAAGACCUAAAGUGGUGGUCAGAUAAUAUUUAUACUCAAAAGAGGAAAUUUAAUAGAGGUAACCCACAGGUUAUAAUUCAAACAGACGCCUCAAAAUUAGGUUGGGGAGCAGUCUUGAAUGAACAAAAAAUAGGUAGCAGAUGGAGCAAUGAUGAAAAAGAUAAUCAUAUUAAUUGUUUAGAAUUAUUAGCUGUUUAUUAUGCUCUAAAAUCAUUUAAGGAUGAUUUGAAUACUGUUGAAAAAUGUCAAAAUUCUUACAGACAAUACAACUGCUGUAAGCUAUAUAAACAGUAUGGGUGGUAUAAAGUCUAUUGAAUGCAAUAGAAUUGCUAGAAAAAUUUGGAUUUGGUGCAUUGAACACCAAAUAUGGCUGAUUGCUACUCAUAUACCAGGGAAGUUAAAUACAAAAGCAGACUAUCAGUCAAGAAAUUUUAAUGAUCAGAUAGAAUGGCAACUGAAUAAAAACAAUUUUGAAAAAGUAUGUUUAUUAUGGAAUAAACCAGAAAUAGAUUUAUUUGCUUCACAUCUAAAUACUCAGUUACCAAUUUUUUGUUCAUGGAAAGCUGAUCCAGAAUCAUCUUUUGUUGAUGCUUUUACUCUUGAUUGGGGUAAUUUUUCUUACAGUUAUAUGUUUCCUCCUUUCAGCAUGAUCGGACGCUGUGUAAAGAAGAUUAUAAAAGACAAGGCAGACGUGCUGUUUGUGGGACCACUUUGGCCAACCCAACCAUGGUUUGUUCAAGUAAUGAAACUGUUAAUAAACAAUCCAUAUGUUAUCAAAGCAAACAAAAAGCUAUUGACUCUACCAUACAAGGACAUAGUUCAUCCUUUAGAAAAGACAUUGAAUUUGAUGGUAUGUCGGAUAUCCGGAACCGAUUACAAAACAGAGGAAUUUCAGAGAAAACUUCCACUAUUAUCAUGGCAUCAUGGAGAUCAGGAACUCAAAAACAAUAUAAAACAUAUAUCAAGAAAUGGUUUAUUUUCUGUCUUGAACGGAAAGAGGAUAAAUUUCACACGUCUGUAGAACUUGUGCUAGAAUUUCUGACUUAUUUGUUUGAAUGUGGCUUGAGUUAUUCCGCUUUGAAUAGUGCUAGGUCAGCACUAUCUGCGUUUGGUUUGACUUUUGAUAAUGUACCUGUUGGAAAGCAUCCACUUGUGAUAAGAUUUCUCAAAGGAGUAUAUCAUUUGAGACCAUCUGUACAUAAUGAUGUAAAUAUUUGGGAUGUUUCUAUUGUUUUGAGAUUGUUGAGACGUUUAUCACCAGUUGCUGAUAUAUCAGUGAAAGAUUUAACUUUAAAACUAGUUAUGUUAAUUGCAUUGACGAAUGCUACUAGAUCACAGAGUAUUCAUUUAUUAAAACUCAGCAAUAUGCAAAAACAGAAGGAUUGUUUUCGUUUUAAGAUAUUUGAUUUACUGAAACAAAGCAGACCUGGAUAUAAGAAUCCAGAAGUUAUUUUAAAAAGUUUUCCUCCAGACAGGAGAUUAUGUGUGUAUUUAGUACUGAAGGAAUAUUUGAAACGUACUGUUGAUAUAAGAUCAGAAGAAGAUUCAUUAAUAUUAAGUUAUAUUAAACCACACAAAAAAGUUAGUUGCUCAACUAUUUCUAGAUGGAUUAAAUCCAUUAUGUGCCGUGCAGGAAUUGACACAAGUAUAUUUAAAGCACACAGUACACGAUCUGCAUCUACUUCGAAGGCAAAGCAGAAUAAUGUGCCUGUAAGUGAUAUUUUAGCCAAAGCCGGUUGGUCAAGUUCAACGACUUUUGGAAAAUUUUAUGACAAGACAGUAACAACAAGUGAUGUUUUUGCAGAAAAAGUGUUACAAAUCUGA